rnacentral:rRNA from 1 species
GACGAACGCUGGCGGCGCGCUUAACACAUGCAAGUCGAACGGAAAGGCCCUGCUUUUGUGGGGUGCUCGAGUGGCGAACGGGUGAGUAACACGUGAGUAACCUGCCCUUGACUUUGGGAUAACUUCAGGAAACUGGGGCUAAUACCGGAUAGGAGCUCCUGCUGCAUGGUGGGGGUUGGAAAGUUUCGGCGGUUGGGGAUGGACUCGCGGCUUAUCAGCUUGUUGGUGGGGUAGUGGCUUACCAAGGCUUUGACGGGUAGCUGGCCUGAGAGGGUGACCGGCCACAUUGGGACUGAGAUACGGCCCAGACUCCUACGGGAGGCAGCAGUGGGGAAUAUUGCACAAUGGGCGGAAGCCUGAUGCAGCAACGCCGCGUGCGGGAUGACGGCCUUCGGGUUGUAAACCGCUUUCGCCUGUGACGAAGCGUGAGUGACGGUAAUGGGUAAAGAAGCACCGGCUAACUACGUG